UUAGCUUGCUGAGUUUGAUGGCGACCGGCGCACGGGUGAGUAACACGUAUCCAACCUGCCGUCUACUCUUGGACAGCCUUCUGAAAGGAAGAUUAAUACAAGAUGGCAUCAUGAGUCCGCAUGUUCACAUGAUUAAAGGUAUUCCGGUAGACGAUGGGGAUGCGUUCCAUUAGAUAGUAGGCGGGGUAACGGCCCACCAAACCGACGAUGGAUAGGGGUUCUGAGAGGAUGAACGGCCACACUGGAACUGAGACACGGUCCAGACUCC
rnacentral:rRNA from 1 species